UACGUAGGGGGCGAGCGUUGUCCGGAUUUAUUGGGCGUAAAGAGCGUGUAGGCGGCCAGGUAGGUCUGCUGUGAAAACUCGAGGCUCAACCUCGAGACGUCGGCGGAAACCAUCUGGCUAGAGUCCGGAAGAGGAGAGUGGAAUUCCUGGUGUAGCUGUGAAAUGCGCAGAUAUCAGGAAGAACACCCGUGGCGAAGGCGGCUCUCUGGGACGGUACUGACGCUGAGACGCGAAAGCGUGGGGAGCGAACAGG
rnacentral:rRNA from 1 species